GGCGAUGGAAAGACGGCGAGGGCCAUCACCAAGGCCCACCCGCACGUCAAGUGCACCGUGCUGGAUCUCCCCAAGGUGAUCCAAAAAACUCCGUCGGACUGUGUAGUCAACUAUGUCGCCGGUGACCUCUUCCACACCGUCCCAAAGGCUCAGGCCGUGAUGCUCAAGCUUGUGCUGCACCACUGGAGUGACGACGACUGCGUGAAGAUCCUUACCCAGUGUAAGAAUUCCAUUCCUUCCCGUGAAGAAGGAGCGAAGGUGAUUGUCAUUGACAUUGUGGUCGAACCAUCAUUAGGACCUGUCAUGUUUGAGGCCCAGACUCUCAUGGACUUGCUCAUGCUUGUGUUCACGAGAGGCCGUCAACGUAGCGAAAAUGACUGGCGUGAGCUCUUCAUGAAAGCAGGGUUCACCGACUACAAAAUUAUCAAGAAACUCGGUGCACGAGGUGUCAUCGAGGUCUACAAGUGA
rnacentral:rRNA from 1 species